rnacentral:sRNA from 1 species
CACACGCAAGGGGCGGAACCUGAGCUUAUCGGGGUCCAUCCGGUGGCCGAAAGGAGUGAUCCUCCGGCCCAUACUCCUCUUGCGGAGGUUAAACCGGAAAACUCAGGAGAUUA